rnacentral:rRNA from 1 species
UACGGGGGGACCAAGCGUUGUUCGGAUUUACUGGGCGUAAAGGGCGCGUAGGCGGCAUGACAAGUCACUUGUGAAAUCUCCGGGCUUAACUCGGAACGGCCAAGUGAUACUGUCAAGCUAGAGUGCAGAAAGGGCAAUCGGAAUUCUUGGUGUAGCGGUGAAAUGCGUAGAUAUCAAGAGGAACACCUGAGGCGAAGGCGGGUUGCUAGGCUGACACUGACGCUGAAGCGCGAAAGCCAGGGGAGCAAACGGG